AAACUUGAGAGUUUGAUCAUGGCUCAGAACGUACGCUGGCGGCACGCCUAACACAUGCAAGUCGAACGAAGUAGCAAUACUUAGUGGCAGACGGGUGAGUAACAUGUAGGUAUCUGCCCUUUGGCCUGGAAUAACACGAGGAAACUUGUGCUAAUACCGGAUAAGUCUUUACGGAGAAAGCUUUAUGCACCAUUGGAUGAGCCUGCACUUGAUUAGUUUGUUGGUGGGGUAAUGGCCUACCAAGACUGUGAUCAAUAGCUGAUUUGAGAGGAUGAUCAGCCACAUUGGGACUGAGACACGGCCCAAACUCCUACGGGAGGCAGCAGUGGGGAAUCUUGCACAAUGGAGGAAACUCUGAUGCAGCGAUGCCGCGUGAGUGAAGAAGGCCCUUGGGUUGUAAAGCUCUUUCGUCGGGGAAGAAAAUGACUGUACCCGAAUAAGAAGGUCCGGCUAACUUCGUGCCAGCAGCCGCGGUAAUACGAAGGGACCUAGCGUAGUUCGGAAUUACUGGGCUUAAAGAGUUCGUAGGUGGUUGAAAAAGUUAGUGGUGAAAUCCCAGAGCUUAACUCUGGAACUGCCAUUAAAACUUUUCAGCUAGAGUAUGAUAGAGGAAAGCAGAAUUUCUAGUGUAGAGGUGAAAUUCGUAGAUAUUAGAAAGAAUACCAAUUGCGAAGGCAGCUUUCUGGAUCAUUACUGACACUGAGGAACGAAAGCAUGGGUAGCGAAGAGGAUUAGAUACCCUCGUAGUCCAUGCCGUAAACGAUGUGUGUUAGACGUUGGAAAUUUAUUUUCAGUGUCGCAGCGAAAGCGAUAAACACACCGCCUGGGGAGUACGACCGCAAGGUUAAAACUCAAAUGAAUUGACGGGGACCCGCACAAGUAGUGGAGCAUGUGGUUUAAUUCGAAGAUACGCGCAGAACCUUACCAACACUUGACAUGUUCGUCGCGACUCUAAGAGAUUAGAGUUUUCGGUUCGGCCGGACGAAACACAGGUGCUGCAUGGCUGUCGUCAGCUCGUGUCGUGAGAUGUUGGGUUAAGUCCCGCAACGAGCGCAACCCUCACUUUUAGUUGCCAUCAUUAAGUUGGGCACUCUGAAAGAACUGCCAGUGAUAAGCUGGAGGAAGGUGGGGAUGACGUCAAGUCCUCAUGGCCCUUACGUGUUGGGCUACACACGUGCUACAAUGGUAUCUACAACAGGAAGCAAGACUGCGAAGUUAAGCAAAUCCCUAAAAGAUACCUCAGUUCGGAUUGCACUCUGCAACUCGAGUGCAUGAAGCUGGAAUUACUAGUAAUCGUGGAUCAGCGUGCCACGGUGAAUGCGUUCCCGGGUCUUGUACACACCGCCCGUCACACCAUGGGAGUUGGUUCUACCUUAAGGCAAGGUUUCAAAACCUUGACCACGGUAUAGUCAGCGACUGGGGUGAAGUCGUAACAAGGUAGCCGUAGGGGAACCUGCGGCUGGAUUACCUCCUUU
rnacentral:rRNA from 1 species